UUGAAUCCCAUUCGGGGACAGUUCCCAAUAAAACGUGAGGAAGAGCUUAUAGCACUGGAAGAAAAAAUAAAAUUAAAUAGGGACAUUUAUAUAACAGCAAUGAAAUCAAUUCUCCAGCCAGCUGGCGUUUUGAGCGGCUUGAACUUUAUUUUGAGUGAGGACAUUGUUCUGGCAUAUAACGUCGAUGGGGUCCAAGGGAAGAAGGCCCUUAGGACCCACAAAGAAUUUUUUGCAGCUUUGCUAUAAUGUAUUUCGCCUGGCGAUGAGCCCCCCGAAAACACUGUGCGG